GGGCGUUAAGUUGCAGGGUAUAGACCCGAAACCCGGUGAUCUAGCCAUGGGCAGGUUGAAGGUUGGGUAACACUAACUGGAGGACCGAACCGACUAAUGUUGAAAAAUUAGCGGAUGACCUGUGGCUGGGGGUGAAAGGCCAAUCAAACCGGGAGAUAGCUGGUUCUCCCCGAAAGCUAUUUAGGUAGCGCCUCGUGAAUUCAUCUCCGGGGGUAGAGCACUGUUUCGGCUAGGGGGCCAUCCCGGCUUACCAACCCGAUGCAAACUGCGAAUACCGGAGAAUGUUAUCACGGGAGACACACGGCGGGUGCUAACGUCCGUCGUGAAGAGGGAAACAACCCAGACCGCCAGCUAAGGUCCCAAAGUCAUGGUUAAGUGGGAAACGAUGUGGGAAGGCCCAGACAGCCAGGAUGUUGGCUUAGAAGCAGCCAUCAUUUAAAGAAAGCGUAAUAGCUCACUGGUCGAGUCGGCCUGCGCGGAAGAUGUAACGGGGCUAAACCAUGCACCGAAGCUGCGGCAGCGACGCUUAUGCGUUGUUGGGUAGGGGAGCGUUCUGUAAGCCUGUGAAGGUGGCCUGUGAGGGUUGCUGGAGGUAUCAGAAGUGCGAAUGCUGACAUAAGUAACGAUAAAGCGGGUGAAAAGCCCGCUCGCCGGAAGACCAAGGGUUCCUGUCCAACGUUAAUCGGGGCAGGGUGAGUCGACCCCUAAGGCGAGGCCGAAAGGCGUAGUCGAUGGGAAACAGGUUAAUAUUCCUGUACUUGGUGUUACUGCGAAGGGGGGACGGAGAAGGCUAUGUUGGCCGGGCGACGGUUGUCCCGGUUUAAGCGUGUAGGUGUGUGUUCCAGGUAAAUCCGGUUCACUUUAACACUGAGGCGUGAUGACGAGGCACUACGGUGCUGAAGCAACAAAUGCCCUGCUUCCAGGAAAAGCCUCUAAGCAUCAGGUAACAUCAAAUCGUACCCCAAACCGACACAGGUGGUCAGGUAGAGAAUACCAAGGCGCUUGAGAGAACUCGGGUGAAGGAACUAGGCAAAAUGGUGCCGUAACUUCGGGAGAAGGCACGCUGACACGUAGGUGAAGUGAUUUACUCAUGGAGCUGAAGUCAGUCGAAGAUACCAGCUGGCUGCAACUGUUUAUUAAAAACACAGCACUGUGCAAACACGAAAGUGGACGUAUACGGUGUGACGCCUGCCCGGUGCCGGAAGGUUAAUUGAUGGGGUCAGCGCAAGCGAAGCUCCUGAUCGAAGCCCCGGUAAACGGCGGCCGUAACUAUAACGGUCCUAAGGUAGCGAAAUUCCUUGUCGGGUAAGUUCCGACCUGCACGAAUGGCGUAAUGAUGGCCAGGCUGUCUCCACCCGAGACUCAGUGAAAUUGAACUCGCUGUGAAGAUGCAGUGUACCCGCGGCAAGACGGAAAGACCCCGUGAACCUUUACUAUAGCUUGACACUGAACAUUGAGCCUUGAUGUGUAGGAUAGGUGGGAGGCUUUGAAGCGUGGACGCCAGUCUGCGUGGAGCCGACCUUGAAAUACCACCCUUUAAUGUUUGAUGUUCUAACGUGGACCCGUGAUCCGGGUUGCGGACAGUGUCUGGUGGGUAGUUUGACUGGGGCGGUCUCCUCCUAAAGAGUAACGGAGGAGCACGAAGGUUGGCUAAUCCUGGUCGGACAUCAGGAGGUUAGUGCAAUGGCAUAAGCCAGCUUGACUGCGAGCGUGACGGCGCGAGCAGGUGCGAAAGCAGGUCAUAGUGAUCCGGUGGUUCUGAAUGGAAGGGCCAUCGCUCAACGGAUAAAAGGUACUCCGGGGAUAACAGGCUGAUACCGCCCAAGAGUUCAUAUCGACGGCGGUGUUUGGCACCUCGAUGUCGGCUCAUCACAUCCUGGGGCUGAAGUAGGUCCCAAGGGUAUGGCUGUUCGCCAUUUAAAGUGGUACGCGAGCUGGGUUUAGAACGUCGUGAGACAGUUCGGUCCCUAUCUGCCGUGGGCGCUGGAGAACUGAGGGGGGCUGCUCCUAGUACGAGAGGACCGGAGUGGACGCAUCACUGGUGUUCGGGUUGUCAUGCCAAUGGCACUGCCCGGUAGCUAAAUGCGGAAGAGAUAAGUGCUGAAAGCAUCUAAGCACGAAACUUGCCCCGAGAUGAGUUCUCCCUGAGACUUAGAGUCUCCUGAAGGAACGUUGAAGACGACGACGUUGAUAGGCCGGGUGUGUAAGCGCAGCGAUGCGUUGAGCUAACCGGUACUAAUGAACCGUGAGGCUUAACCUUACAACGCCGAAG
rnacentral:rRNA from 1 species